GGUUUUUUUCUUUUCUUUUCUUUUUUCUUAAUAUUUUUUGUUGUUUUCGCAGUCAUUCUCUUUUAGGUUUCUUUUCGUCUUGAUCGAUUGUGUUUAGUCCUCGAAAAAUCUCUGCAGUAUUCGAUUCUCUCCAGUUUGUAAGCUUAAUUAAUUUGUCUUGAUGUGUGCUGCCAGUUAGUAAAUUUCUCAUCUGUAGGGCAAGAAUGAAUUUUGAUGGUCAUGAUUUACGGAUUCAGAGAGGGAGGCUAAGGUUCACAUUAACCAGCCGAAUUGGAGGAUUGGCGAGGCUCUCGUUUUUUUUUUUUUUUUACAAGAGAGGCACAUAAACUUAAUAUCGAGGCUCCGUAACCUUUGCUUUGAAUGUGUUGCCUUUGAUUUGUGUUCUCAUAAAGAAAAAUGCCUGAGUUUGCUGCUUAUGAGUUAUUUUGUCCAUUUAUGUGUCUCUCUCAAAUAUUCUCUUCAGACUCAUGAACUCUUUUUUUUGUCCGUUUGUAACUUGUCUCUGUUUAUCAAGACGCAUUAUUACUCUGCAGUGAGUAGUGAAGUGUCAUUUCUGGCCCUUGAUAUCAUGACGCGGAGCCUUGAUAACUCCAACGUGGGAGCCAUAAGAUCCGUGCGAGGCCUGCGCACAUCACCCAUCCUGUGACCAUCACGUGGUGUAUUAAUAUGACUUUAAUUCAUGCUAGAAAUUUAUAUGUUUCCCGUAAGAUUUGUUAAGAUUUGGUAUUGUUACCUUUGAUAAUUUCUAAUCCACACAGCCUCUGUAUAUUGAAAUUUAACACUUUCGGAAGCUUCAUAUGCUAUUCUCUAGAUGGCUUUACGGGCUAAUACGAGAGAUCAACCUGCACAUGAGUCGAAUUGGCAGUCCGCUUCGAGAAAGAGCAAGUCUGCCUCUAGCCCGGAAGAGCCUGAUCCAUAUAGUAUUGAAGCAUGUAUGGCCGAGCUGAAUAGGAUGCAACAUAUUCCAGAUAGCGAUUCCGCUGCGGGUUUGAGAGCUUUUAAAGAUGCUUAUUGGCGGAAAGUGUUCAUGAUGAUGCCAAAGAAUAGGAGAGAGGGCUGGCUCUCGAGCGAAGAUUUGAGGGACCGAAGAAAGAUGCAAUAAUGGUCUUGUUCAUUACUAUAUAUAUAUAUAUAUAUAUAUAUAUAUAUAUAUCUGUGUGUGUGAGAUAUAUUAUUUAUUAUAUUAUAUUAACUGUCUUUGAAUAUAUAUAUUAUGUGUGACAAUAUAUGUUGUUUUUGACUUUAUAUACUAUUCUUUAUUAUAUGACAUUGUUUGUUUGUCAUUGCAUUUAUGUACGCGAUACUAAAUUUGAUUUCAUUA